CGAACGGGUGAGUAACACGUGAGGUAACCUGCCCUUGACUUUGGGAUAACUUCAGGAAACUGGGGCUAAUACCGGAUAGGAGCUCCGUGCUGCAUGGUGGGGGUUGGAAAGUUUCGGCGGUUGGGGAUGGACUCGCGGCUUAUCAGCUUGUUGGUGGUAGUGGCUUACCAAGGCUUUGACGGGUAGCCGGCCUGAGAGGGUGACCGGCCACAUUGGGACUGAGAUACGGCCCAG
rnacentral:rRNA from 1 species